UUUUAUCAUGUUUUAUCAUAUUUUACUUUUCCUGAGAGCUGUGAGAGACGGAGAACGGAGCGAGAGCAAGAACUGAAGAUUCUCAAUUCUACUACGGUUUUUCUUGUGGAUGUUUAUUUGUUUUAUUGAGAAUUGUAUUCUAGUUCAUAUGUCUAUGUGUGGCUAGAAUCCCUUUUUUCCCAGGGUUUAGGGAGUAAACAUGGUUUGAAUUUCUGACUGUUUGAUUCAAUUAAUUGGAUUGUUAUUCCUUUCUAUGUUCUUG
rnacentral:lncRNA from 1 species